AGAAUCCACCGGGGUGCAGCGAGGCUGUGGAAAGUCCCACCCAGAACGUGAGGUGAAGAAGGCUUGGGCUGCGCUGGUUCUGCUCUGUCCGGGUCGGAGAUGAACUGACCCGGGAGAGCAGCGGAGGGAUGUUUCUUUUGGCCAACAGUGGGGACUCACCUGCACGUUUUGCGAAGAGGCCCACAGUCCUUUGCGUGGCGCUCGGACUACAUUUCCCAACGGCCCCUGCACGCCCUGGGGGCUGUUCCAUGCGGUGUUGCGCCUGCGUAGCCGGCGGGCUGGCAGUGAGACUGACUGCGUCGGGGUUGAGACUGGGUGGAUGAGGCUCACCCCGGCGGGGAGAAGGGACGAGGAGGGGCGGACAGCGGAAGGUCCGGGAGUGUCCGCCAUAAAGUCGUUUGAGGUGACCGUUGCGUAAUUGUGAGUCUGUGAGAGAAGAUGUGAAGUAUGGCCUCGUCCCGGUCAUCUGGGCGUGCGGGUCCCGGGUUUUGAUCGCGCGUUUGUGUAGUUUUAACUUCUAGUCAUGGCGAAUGAUCGCAGGAGAGCACAGACUGGACCCUGCUACGAUCUCUCUUGGAGUGGAUCAGACUGAUGAUCACCAACAACCAACUCAUUCCCGGAUAAGGAAGAAGAGAGUGUCACCUACUUCAGUGUGGUUUCAACCCUACUUCUGCAUCUUAAAGACACUGUAUGGUUUCAGCAGUAGUGCCCCUGUUCAUUAGUCCCCCUGAUGUUUUCAUUCCUCAUCUCAUCUUUUUCUUAGCAGCAUUCAAUGAAUCCUUCAUUCUAGAAACACUCUAUAUCUUUGGUUUUCAUGAGACCAUUCUCACCUUGUUUUGUCCUGUGACUUUUUUGAAAAAAACAAAAACAAAAAACCCUUUUUUUCUUUUUAAAUUCUGGUAAAAAACACAAUGAAAAUUUGCUAUCUUAACCAUGUUGAAAUGUGCAGUUAGUAAAGUACAUUCACAUUGUGGUGCAAGCCAUCACUACCAUCCAUCACUAGAACCCUUUUCAUCUUGCAGAUCUGAAACUCUACCCAUUAAACGACUUCCCAUCUUCCCAUCCCCACAGCUCCUAGCAACCAACAUUCUACUUUCUCUAUCAGUUUGACUACUCUAGGUACCUCAUAUGAGUAGAAUCAUACAGCAUUUAUCCUUCUCUGCCUGGCUUAUUUCACUUGUAUAAUGUCCUCAAGGUUCAUUCAUGUUGUAGCAUGCAUCAGAACUUCCUCCCCUUUUAAAGGCUGGAUAAUAUUUCAUGGUAUGUUUAGAUCACAUUCUGUUUAUCCAUUCAUCCAUCAGUGAACACUUGUGCUCCUUCCAACUUUGGGCUGUUGGGUGUCCUGCCACUGUUGCUCCUAGUGCUCAAUCUCGUUUAUUCCCUCCUAAUCAAGUGUACAACGUUGGACACUGUGCAGGAUGAUGCCACUUCAUCUUGGAUGCUAAUCUGCCAUGUUGACUUCUGAUUAACCCCAGGCCCAGGAAUGCCUCAAGAUUUCUACUUUACUUACUGUUGCUUGUGUAAGCCAAGACAACCUUGAUGUUAUCAUAAACAUGUACUUACCUAAGUCCUGUCCUUUGGCAAAUUAUGGGCUAUGAGACACAGCAUUCUUGCCUUUCCCUGAGGGGUCAAUUUCAGCGAUCCUACACAUUCCUUCUGAAGCACUUAUGCUCUUUCUAUAUGGUAUGUAAGCUCUCGGUCUGGGGAGUAACAGUGCAGAGAUCUACCUGUCUUGUUGCCACAUGUUUCUAAACUUUCCAAUAAAUCACCUUCUACUGACAAA